CUGGAGAUCAUCUACCUGCUGACUGGACAGGAAUGUAUUAUAGUGAAGAAGCCUUCUGAUGAUCACAUGACUCCCGUGACACAAAGAUGGAGCAAGAUGCAGAGCUCCAUGACAGAACCUCCAACGUACUCCCUAAUAUCCGAAAUAAACAAUGACAAGAAGAUUCUAGAAAUCACCAGAAGGAUCACUGAGCUGCUAAAGGGAGAGGUUCCUAUAAGGUGUCAGGAUGUCUCUGUCUA